GAUAUGACGGUACUUGAGGAAUAAGCAUCGGCUAAUUCCGUGCCAGCAGCCGCGGUAAUACGGGAGUGGCAAGCGUUAUCCGGAAUUAUUGGGCGUAAAGCGUCCGCAGGUGGCCUUUCAAGUCUGCUGUUAAAGCGUGGAGCUUAACUCCAUCAUCGCAGUGGAAACUGAUAGGCUUGAGUAUGGUAGGGGCAGAGGGAAUUCCCGGUGGAGCGGUGAAAUGCGUAAAUAUCGGAAAGAACACCAGUGGCGAAGGCGCUCUGCUGGGCUAUUACUGACACUCAGAGACGAAAGCCAGGGUAGCAAAUGGGAUUAGAU
rnacentral:rRNA from 1 species